UGACCGAGCAAAGUCGCGGGAAGGAAGAAGGCUUUCGGGUUGUAAACUUCUUUUAAGAGGGAAGAGCAGAAGACGGUACCUCUAGAAUAAGCCACGGCUAACGACGUGCCAGCAGCCGUGGCAAUACGUAGGCGGCAAGCGUUGUCCGGAUUUACUGGGUGAAAAGGGCGUGCAGCCGGGCUGGCAAGUCAGAGGUGAAAUCAAUGGGCUCAACCCAUGAACUGCAUUUGAAACUGAAGAUCUUGAGUGUCGGAGGGGCAAUCGGAAUUCCUAGUGUAGCGGGGAAAUGCGGAGAUAUUAGGAGGAACACCAGUGGCGAAGGCGGAUUGCUGGACGAUAACUGACGGUGAGGCGCGAAAGUGUGGGGAGCAAACAGGAUUAGAUACC
rnacentral:rRNA from 1 species